AUGAACGCUGGCGGCAUGCCUAAUACAUGCAAGUCGAGCGAACAGACGAGGAGCUUGCUCCUCUGACGUUAGCGGCGGACGGGUGAGUAACACGUGGAUAACCUACCUAUAAGACUGGGAUAACUUCGGGAAACCGGAGCUAAUACCGGAUAAUAUAUUGAACCGCAUGGUUCAAUAGUGAAAGACGGUUUUGCUGUCACUUAUAGAUGGAUCCGCGCCGCAUUAGCUAGUUGGUAAGGUAACGGCUUACCAAGGCAACGAUGCGUAGCCGACCUGAGAGGGUGAUCGGCCACACUGGAACUGAGACACGGUCCAGACUCCUACGGGAGGCAGCAGUAGGGAAUCUUCCGCAAUGGGCGAAAGCUUGACGGAGCAACGCCGCGUGAGUGAUGAAGGUCUUCGGAUCGUAAAACUCUGUUAUUAGGGAAGAACAAAUGUGUAAGUAACUAUGCACGUCUUGACGGUACCUAAUCAGAAAGCCACGGCUAACUACGUG
rnacentral:rRNA from 1 species